ACCUUUGACCUAAGUCUUUCUGGUUGGCUUAUGUGUGGUCUGGCCCUUCUGUAGCCAGUGCCAUCUAUGGACCAGACCAUUUCAUGUAUGGGCCGUCACCAUCCUGAUUCAUUUCCAGUCAAGGUCACUUUGGCCUGGAUGAUCUCAUAUUCCAGAAUUGGCUCAUGCAGGGGAUACUUAGAAAAACCAUAGAUCAUGGGGUUUGGGAGAUGGAAAGAAACUAAAAGACUAACAGGUCACAGCAAACACUGGACUGGGUGGGGAGAUACCUGGGACCUUGACCUGGCUUUUCUCUCCUAGGUCCCAUAUGACUCUGGGACCCUGUACCUUCAGAACUUUGUAGCCUGUGUCACAGCUGAUGAGCACCUGGUCUUUGAAGGAAUACGUGGCUUGCAGGGGCUCGAUUUUCCCGUGGACAGGAAGCUCUGGAUCUGGACACUCAUUCCCUGGUGGGAGCAAUGAAAGAUUGAUUACGACGGCCUUGGAAAUGGAUGAAGCUGGCUAAUAACCCUCUGCUCAAAAUGAACAUAUGGCUCAGAAAGGGACAGAGCUCUGUCCAGGUGCAUGGGAUAGAGAAGGCCUCUGCUCUCAAAGAACCUACAGCCUAGUCGAGGAUGGCUGGGAUGGGGUAGCAGAUGGGACUAAUAAUAAAGAUUAAGCAAAAAUAAAUAAAUAAAUAAAUAAAUAUUAAGCAAAAAAUUAC